rnacentral:rRNA from 1 species
CAGCCGCCACGGUAAUACGGAGGGUGCAAGCGUUACUCGGAAUCACUGGGCGUAAGGGACGCGUAGGCGGAUUAUCAAGUCUCUUGUGAAAUCUAACGGCUUAACCGUUAAACUGCUUGGGAAACUGAUAAUCUAGAGUAAGGGAGAGGCAGAUGGAAUUCUUGGUGUAGGGGUAAAAUCCGUAGAUAUCAAGAAGAAUACCUAUUGCGAAGGCGAUCUGCUGGAACUUAACUGACGCUAAUGCGUGAAAGCGUGGGGAGCAAACAGGAUUAGAUACCCCCGUAGUCCCUGUCUCUUAUAC